AAAUUAUAGUGUGGACAGCUCCUCAGUAAAUCCUUGAACCGUUCCUAACAAUCAUACAAAGUUUUGUUCUCUUACUGAAGAAACCCUGCUAUUUCAUUCCUCAACUU